AUUUAAAAGUUAUCGAGUAUUACGGUCUCUGAUAUCUAUAUAUACAUUUUUGCAGCCAUUUUGUGAAAUAAAUCCUGUAGUUAAGACUUAUUUACAAUGGCUGCUACUGGAUUUUAAUGUUUGUUUUUGAUAAUUAGAAAAAAAUCUUCGAAUUAAAUAUUUGAUAUUUAACAAUCUUCCCUAAAUCUCUUCACAUUAACUACACGAUUAGUUACUAAAAUAAAACUUCCAAAAUAUUUAAUAUCAUUUAAUUACUACAAAAUUAUCAUUUUUGAUAUUGCUUUUCUCCAUGACUAUAACAAUUCGAUUAUAAUCAUCAAACCGCAGAGAUAUUUGUAUCAAACCGCAGAGAUAUUUGAUAGCAUUUAAUUAUUACAAAAUUACAAAAUAUUUAGACAAUAAUUCAUAAACAUAUCAUAAAUAAGAUCAACAUUAAUAAAAUAAAUAGUUUUAUUACGGUACGGGUUGGCGGGACGGGUUUGGCAGGACGUUACUUAAUAACAAUUGUAAACUAUGAAAUAAAAUAUUUUAUAGAUAGAUACAAUUUGCAAACUUUUAUGUAUACUAACUUUACAAACUAAAUUGUUCCCGCGGUGUACCGCGGGUUAAAAUCUAGUUCAUAUAUAUACUUUGAACAAAAUUAAACUAGUCUGAUAUUCAUACUCUUUGAACAACUUAGUUUAAAUCUAACUAUCUAAGUAUUCCUCGUAUUUUGGCCGAAAUCACCGAAUCUCUAGAGUCUAGACCUUUUAAGUCAAAAUGAUUAUU
rnacentral:sRNA from 1 species